AGGGAAUAUUGCACAAUGGAGGAAACUCUGAUGCAGCGACGCCGCGUGAGUGAUGAAGGAUUUCGGUUUGUAAAGCUCUGUUCUCAGGGAAUAAGAAAGUGAAUGUACCUGAGAAGAAAGGACCGGCUAACUUCGUGCCAGCAGCCGCGGUAAGACGAGGGGUCCAAGCGUUGCUCGGAAUCAUUGGGCGUAAAGCGGGUGUAGGCGGCCUUGCAAGUCGGAAGUGAAAGCCCUGGGCUUAACCCAGGAAGUGCUUUCGAUACUGCUUGGCUUGAGUGUGGGAGAGGAUCGUGGAAUUCCAGGUGUAGUGGUGAAAUACGUAGAUAUCUGGAGGAACAUCGGUGGCGAAGGCGGCGAUCUGGCCCAACACUGACGCUCAGACCCGAAAGCGUGGGGAUCAAAC
rnacentral:rRNA from 1 species